UGGUGGUGCUCCUCAACAGAGAGGUGGACGUGGACCAAGAGAAAGAGGUGGUGGUGCUCCUCAACAGAGAGGUGGACAUGGAGAAAGAGGUGGUGGUGCUCCUCAACAGAGAGGUGGACAUGGACCAAGAGAAAGAGGUGGUGGUGCUCCUCAACAGAGAGGUGGUCUUCAGAGAAAUGUAGGCAGAAGACCGCGCACCAUCUCUAAUGAAGUCCGGGCCAUCAUUGCUGACCAUGUGGUUAACAGAGGCCAUAC